rnacentral:rRNA from 1 species
UAAAAACUAGAAUGAAAGGUUAUACAUUCAAAUUUCUUUAUUAAUUUUUUAAUAAAUAAUUUAUAUUAAAUAUAAAAAUAUAUUUACAAAAAAAAAAGACGAUAAGACCCUAUUAAAUUUUACUUAUAGUUUAGCUGGGGAAGCUUUUCAAUUAAAAUUUUUUAAAAAAAUUAAAUAAAUAUCUAAUAAAAUUAAAAUUUUAAUAAAUUACUAUAGGGAUAACAGCAUUAUAUUUUUUAAAAGUUCAUAUUAAAAAAAAAUGAUUGUGACCUCGAUGUUGAAUUAUAUUUUCUAUAUUUAAUGCAAUAAUUAUAUAAGUAGAUCUGUUCGAUCUUUAAAAUAUUACAUGAUUUGAGUUCAAACCGGUGUAAACCAGGUUGGUUUCUAUCUUUUUAUAUAUUUUUCUAGUACGAAAGGACAAAAAAAUUUUUAUUUUAAUAAAUUAGCAAAUAAAUGCAUUAGAUUUAGAAUCUAAAUAUAUAUAUAAUUUUUUUUAUUAAUCCUUUAUUAUCUAUUAUUAUACUUUUAAUUUCAGUAGCAUUUUAUACAAUUUUAGAACGAAAAAUCUUAAGAUAUAUUCAAAUUCGAAAAGGACCAAAUAAAGUAGGAUUUUUAGGUAUUUUACAACCUUUUAGUGAUGCUAUUAAAUUAUUUAAUAAAAAUUUAAUUUCAUCUGAAAGAAUAAAUUUUAUAUUAUCAUAUUCAACACCAGCAUUAUCUUUAAUUUUAAGAAUAAUAAUUGUAUCUAUAUUACCAAUAUAUUUUUAUUCUUCAUUUGAUAAUAAAAAUAAUUUUU